GCUGUUUUCACAUAUGAUCAUGACUGAGAAAACUCACUGGUUAUGACCUGAACAGUCAGAAAAGUUUAAUUGCUAAUUUUGUAUAUGUAUAUUUUUUAUUUUAAAAGGAAUGCUCUGUAAUAGUAUUAGGUACAUUUGAGACUAUGUAUGUUAAAAAAGGCAUCCAAUAAUAGAUUAUAAUUUCAGGUGAAAUGUUUAAAAUGUUUAAUUCUCAUCCAAAUCUAAUUUUCUUUCUACAUAGCAAUGCCAUUUAUUAUUAUUAUUAAACAACAUGAUGACAAGAAUGCUGAGAUUAAUUACUUUAAUGCUAGCCUAACUCAGCUAUUCUAAAGGUCAGAUGAAGGCUUGCUAAAAAGAAACCAAAACUCUAUGGAUUAGCUUAACUACUGCAAACUACUGUGAUAAAUUAGGAUUUGUGCAUAAUUUAUUCUUUUUUUAAAAAAAGUCUACACUGUUAAAGAGUUUCAAUUUAUUAGAC
rnacentral:lncRNA from 1 species